rnacentral:rRNA from 1 species
AGAGCGAACGCUGGCGGCAGGCUUAACACAUGCAAGUCGAGCGGGCGUAGCAAUACGUCAGCGGCAGACGGGUGAGUAACGCGUGGGAACGUACCUUUUGGUUCGGAACAACACAGGGAAACUUGUGCUAAUACCGGAUAAGCCCUUACGGGGAAAGAUUUAUCGCCGAAAGAUCGGCCCGCGUCUGAUUAGCUAGUUGGUGAGGUAACGGCUCACCAAGGCGACGAUCAGUAGCUGGUCUGAGAGGAUGAUCAGCCACAUUGGGACUGAGACACGGCCCAAACUCCUACGGGAGGCAGCAGUGGGAAUAUUGGACAAUGGGCGCAAGCCUGAUCCAGCCAUGCCGCGUGAGUGAUGAAGGCCCUAGGGUUGUAAAGCUCUUUUGUGCGGAAGAUAAUGACGGUACCGCAAGAAUAAGCCCGGCUAACUUCGUGCCAGCAGCCGC